rnacentral:rRNA from 1 species
GACGAACGCUGGCGGCGUGCUUAACACAUGCAAGUCGAACGGAAAGGCCCUGCUUUUGUGGGGUGCUCGAGUGGCGAACGGGUGAGUAACACGUGAGUAACCUGCCCUUGACUUUGGGAUAACUUCAGGAAACUGGGGCUAAUACCGGAUAGCAGCUCCUGCUGCAUGGUGGGGGUUGGAAAUUUUCGGCGGUUGGGGAUGGACGCGCGGUUUAUCAGCUUGUUGGUUGGGUAGUGGCUUACCAAGGAUUUGACGGGUAGCCGGCCUGAGAGGGUGACCGGCCACAGUGGGACUGAGGUACGGCCCAGACUCAUACGGGGGGCAGCAGGGGGGACUAUUGCACAAUGGGCGGAAGCCGGAUGCAGCAACGCCGCGUGCGGGAUGACGGCCUUCGGGUAGUAAACCGCUUUCGCCUGUGACGAAGCGUGAGUGACGGAAAUGAAGAAAGAAGCACCGCCUAACUACGU